CCAAUACUGAGAUUAUUCAACAGUUGCUAUUUUUAGACCUGUGACUUUAGUUGCAGUAUUUUUCUUUUCACGUUUGACCUCUUUGUUUAUUAAUGCAGGUACUCUGGAUUCUUCUGAUACUCACUUAAAAGUGUCCCUGGUGUCCAACAAUCGACAUCUGGAGUUUCGCUCUGAAUCCUGACCUCUUCCUUGUGUUUCUGUGACUCAUGGGGCCAUAAAUUGGUCACCAUGGCAACCAGCUGGAGGAUUGAAAAUCCCCCGUCUGACUUUCUGAGUGUUCACCAUCACUCUGCUCUGCAGCUGGUCUCCUUUUCCACAGUGCAGUGACACAGUGUUGAAG
ensembl:lncRNA